rnacentral:rRNA from 1 species
UACGGAGGGAGCUAGCGUUGUUCGGAAUUACUGGGCGUAAAGCGCACGUAGGCGGAUAUUUAAGUCAGGGGUGAAAUCCCAGAGCUCAACUCUGGAACUGCCUUUGAUACUGGGUAUCUGGAGUAUGGAAGAGGUGAGUGGAAUUCCGAGUGUAGAGGUGAAAUUCGUAGAUAUUCGGAGGAACACCAGUGGCGAAGGCGGCUCACUGGCUCGGUACUGGCGCUGGAGGUGCGAAAGCGUGGGGAGCAAACAGG